rnacentral:rRNA from 1 species
CAUAUGGAUUGUGUCAGCAGCCGCGCGGUAAUACGGGAGUGGCAAGCGUUAUCCGGAAUUAUUGGGCGUAAAGCGUCCGCAGGCGGCCCUUCAAGUCUGCUGUUAAAAGUGGAGCUUAACUCCAUCAUGGCAGUGGAAACUGUUGGGCUUGAGUGUGGUAGGGGCAGAGGGAAUUCCCGGUGUAGCGGUGAAAUGCGUAGAUAUCGGGAAGAACACCAGUGGCGAAGGCGUUCUGCUGGGCCAUCACUGACGCUCAUGGACGAAAGCCAGGGGAGCGAAAGGGAUUAGAUACCCCUGUAGUCCUGGCCGUAAACGAUGAACACUAGGUGUCGGGGGAAUCGACCCCCUCGGUGUCGUAGCCAACGCGUUAAGUGUUCCGCCUGGGGAGUACGCACGCAAGUGUGAAACUCAAAGGAAUUGACGGGGGCCCGCACAAGCGGUGGAACAUGUGGUUUAAUUCGACGCAACGCGAAGAACCUUACCUGGGUUUGACAUCCCCGGCCGACACCAGAGAUGGUGUUUUCUCUUCGGAGACCGGGUGACAGGUGCUGCAUGGCUGUCGUCAGCUCGUGUCGUGAGAUGUUGGGUUAAGUCCCGCAACGAGCGCAACCCUUGCCCUCAGUUGCCAGCAGUUCGGCUGGGCACUCUGGGGGGACUGCCGGUGACAAGCCGGAGGAAGGUGGGGAUGACGUCAAGUCCUCAUGGCCUUUAUAUCCAGGGCUACACACGUGUUACAAUGGGGGUCACAAAGGGCAGCGAAACGGUGACGUGGAGCGAAUCCCAAAAAAGCCCUCUCAGUUCGGAUCGCAGUCUGCAACUCGACUGCGUGAAGCUGGAAUCGCUAGUAAUCGCGGAUCAGCACGCCGCGGUGAAUACGUUCCCGGGCCUUGCACACACCGCCCGUCA